AGAAAGCACCGGGGGUGCCUGUAUCUGCUUUAGAACUGGCCAUUUGGUCAGAGGGUUGAGCAGGUCAGGCUGAGAAAGUCCCUUUGAACCUGAACAGGAUAAUGCCUGCGUAGGGAGUGUGCAUUUUCUUUUCC
rnacentral:ncRNA from 2 species